rnacentral:rRNA from 1 species
UACGUAGGGGGCAAGCGUUGUCCGGAUUUAUUGGGGGUAAAGGGCGUGUAGGCGGCCACACGGGUCUGCUGGGAAAACUCGAGGCUCAACCUCGAGCUGUCGGUGGAAACCGUGUGGCUAGAGUCCGGAAGAGGAGAGUGGAAUUCCCGGUGUAGCGGUGAAAUGCGCAGAUAUCGGGAAGAACACCCGUGGCGAAGGCGGCUCUCUGGGACGGUACUGACGCUGAGACGCGAAAGCGUGGGGAGCGAACAGG